rnacentral:rRNA from 1 species
AUUGAACGCUGGCGGCAGGCUUAACACAUGCAAGUCGAGCGGAGCGAGGGUGCUUGCACCUUAGCUUAGCGGCGGACGGGUGAGUAAUGCUUAGGAAUCUGCCUAUUAGUGGGGGACAACAUUCCGAAAGGGAUGCUAAUACCGCAUACGCCCUACGGGGGAAAGCAGGGGAUCUUCGGACCUUGCGCUAAUAGAUGAGCCUAAGUCGGAUUAGCUAGUUGGUGGGGUAAAGGCCUACCAAGGCGACGAUCUGUAGCGGGUCUGAGAGGAUGAUCCGCCACACUGGGACUGAGACACGGCCCAGACUCCUACGGGAGGCAGCAGUGGGGAAUAUUGGACAAUGGGCGGAAGCCUGAUCCAGCCAUGCCGCGUGUGUGAAGAAGGCCUUUUGGUUGUAAAGCACUUUAAGCGAGGAGGAGGCUACUAGUAUUAAUACUACUGGAUAGUGGACGUUACUCGCAGAAUAAGCACCGGCUAACUCUGUGCCAGCCGCCGCGGUAACAC